AAACUGGAGAACGUGUGCUCAGAUAGAAAGUUGUACAGGUGGGUCUGAGUGGGAGUUUAGACCUGACCGCUGCACGGUUCUCUAAUAAACACAGUCCAUAUUUAUAACACUGUGUGGGCUGAUGCAUCAAACUGCUGUGUUGGAGGAGCAAUGAUGCUCCUGCCUCAAACAUCGUCUUUAAUUCAACAACUUUCCAAAAAGACUAGAGGUGUGUUUUUUCCACAGCUGUCAGUCAUGAACCUGUGCGGUCUGCACGUGUGUGAACUGUUGCAUCUAGUGUGAGAAGGGUCCCACAGGUGGAAAGGUUGAAAGCCAGAGACCGCGUGCUGCGUGAGAAACGCUGUGUGCUGUGGUCGUGGCUGCAGAAAUGAAAGCAGAGCUGAUGAUGUCUUCAGUGGCUCUGCAGAGCUGUGGCACACCAGACCAGACCGAGUAGCCAGACAGCAGCGCAGCAGCUCUUCUGUUAAAGGCGCUUUUGUUCCACAUUUGACAGAACAGGAAACAUGAUGUGGUUUAGCUCUGCAGUCCUGCUGCUGCAACUUCUGCUGCUAGUACUCUGCCAGUGCCACUGUUGCAUGUACAGCUAAUUCAUUGUUCCCAGAUAACGAGCAGCCACAUCCUGUCACAUCCUGUUUACGACUCUUGUCCAGCUACUUGGUCCCAGAGAAAAAUAAUCAGCCAGGCCAAAGACGAAGGCCGUGCCUUUUACACCAAGCCAGAGCUUUUAUGUAUCUGUAAGGUCAACAUGUGUUUGUAAAUGUUUCAGAUGCAUUUACUGAAGUCUGUGUGCAGGCAGGCUGAAGGACCAUGCAGGCCUCAGAGGAUGAAGUCCACUGGUUUUCCUGGUUAUUGCUGUGUUUCUUUGACGGACAGCUUGUGAGGAGACACAGCAGCAGGGAUAUUUGGUCAUGACCGUCUCCGUUUAACUCUGCGAUGGAGUCAAGUAUGAGAGUUAUUGUCCUUCUCGUUGUGAUGAGAUUUUCUGCUUCUGAGGAAGUGAAGAAGAACCUGACGGGCACUGUGGGAGGAAACAUCACUCUACCUGCACCUGUGCUGGAGAAAGGAUAUCUGUUAUAUGGAAGAACGAUUAUUGCUGAUGUGAAAGGCGGGAUAUUUGACUUAUCAGAGGACAUUUACAAGAACAGACUUCAGUGGGACAGAAACUCUGGACUCUUUACACUCACAGAGCUGCAGAGGAACGACUCAGGGAUUUAUACUGUCGACUCUAAAACAGGAAACGUUUUCACAUCAUCAUAUAAGCUGACAGUGUACGACUCUGUACCGACUCCUGCAGUGAAGAAAGUGAGUGUGAGCUCUGAGAGCUGCUCCUUACUGUGUUUGGUGGACAGAGAGACCAAACUGCUGUGGUUUAAAGACGAGCAGAGACUGAACCAGAGCAGCUCUGCGCUCUCUCUGCCUCUCACUGUGCACAAACAGGACUUCAGCUCCUCUUACAGAUGUGUGGCUGCAAACCCUGCAGAGAAUAAAACUCUUCCUGUCCAUGUGAGAACGACCUGUGGAGACACCAACAACGACACCAACAGCUCGACUGAACCAAGAAGCUAUAACAUCCUCAUUAUAAUCUUCUGUGUCCUGUCGGUUGUGAUGAUCAUACUUGCUGCUUUUUUCAUCAAGUCAAAGUAUCUUCCCCGAAACAAAACAAAGACAAACGGACAGGCACAAGGCCCCGCAGGCACGCAGGAAGAGGUCCAAUAUAGUGAAAUACAAAUAACCAACAACAGACAGGGGGAAAAUUUACCAGAGUCAUCAACAACGAUCUACCACACCAACCUGACCACAGUAUACGAUAAGCUGGAGGUCCAUCGCAUGAUCACGGACAACGAUGCUGAAAAUACCUGAGACCAAAUGAGAAAUUCCCAACUGAGAGUUUCCAGAAAGAAAACAUUUCAG
ensembl:lncRNA